CGUCGCGACGCCGAUCGUCCCGACACGAAUCGGCGGCGUCCGAGCCGAGCCGAGGAUCCUCGGCGUUACAUCCGAUCGCAGAAAAGAAAGAGGAGGAGGAGAAGGAGGAGGAUGUGAUUGUUCGUGAUCGAUCGAGAUUCGUCCCUCUGUCUUAUGUGUGGUUGCGGCCGAAGAGACGAUGCGACGUGGUGGCAAGUAGACGGACGGCUAUUUCCGCAUGACAUCACAUCGCCCGCAUUUGGAGAGAGGGCACCACGAUUUUCUAUUUUCUCAACGGCUCGACAUUGGUGGCCUGAGCAUGCAAGACGUCACCGCAGAGGGUGCAAUAGGCAUCGCUAUCACACCUUUGUAAGUCGAAUCGUACCACUGAUUAUAAAAGUCCGUGGUAUCGU